rnacentral:rRNA from 1 species
CGCCUGCCGGCGACCGGCGCACGGGUGAGUAACACGUAUGCGACCUGCCCCCCGCAGGGGGAUAACCGGGAGAAAUCCCGACUAAUACCGCGUAACGCCGCGGACCUGCAUGGGUCUGCGGCCAAAGGAAGCGAUUCCGGCGGGGGAUGGGCAUGCGGCGCAUUAGCUAGUCGGCGGGGUAACGGCCCACCGAGGCGACGGUGCGUAGGGGUUCUGAGAGGAAGGUCCCCCACACUGGUACUGAGACACGGACCAGACUCCUACGGAAGGCAGCAG